rnacentral:lncRNA from 1 species
UUGGUCUACAAAUUUCUUGAAGCAAUUGUGGUUACAGCCACCACAUUCACAAUAAGGAAGAGGCCUGAAAUUUCUUAACUUUUCUCAAAUGGAAUUCAACUCAGUAAAAUAUUGAUCUACUGAUCUGGUCCCUUGUGUGAUAUUGCAUAACAUGAAUUGAAGAUUACAAAUCUGUGAGUCAUCUGGUUGAGAGAAACGCUCUUUCAAUGUCUCCCAUAUCUGUCAAGCAAAAUUCAUAUAAAAGACUGUUGAUGCAAUUUCUGGUGAAAGGGACUCAAACAGCCAAGCCAAGAUCAAGUUAUUACACCUGCUCCAAUAACCAAACAUUUCAUUAGUUGGUUUGGGUUCCCCAAUUGAUCCGUCCACAAAACCAGCCUUAUUAUGAAUGGCCAGUGCAAGUAGAAACGAAAGACUCCAAAAUGCAUAGUUUGCAGAAGUCAACUUGGGAUUUAUAACAACAGAACCAUGACUAUCAGAUUGGUGAAUGAAAUAUGGUGAGUGAGGGUCCUCAAUUGGAGAAAUGGAGGUUUUUGAUGAAGAGACAGCCAUUCAGCAUAUCAAUUAAAGAGAUAAAGCAAAUCCAAUAAUAAGAUUCGACUGGGUUGCAACAAAGAUGUAAAACCCGAUCCUAUAAAUACAUGUCAUGACAUACAUGCAUUGAGUAGCAUGUUAUUACGCUAGAAAAACACCUAAGAAUAGACGAAACCCGAUAUUGUACCUAACGGUACACUUAAAUUGAAUUAACCUCGAACUAGUUCAAAUAAGGAAUUGUAGGAUGAAAUUUUAAUAUUUUAUAGUCCAAGAAUGACUAAAAAAUGAUUGUUGCGGAGUUCGAGGGUUUAUUUGGGGUAAAAUUAGAAAUUUUGAUGUUAAGGGGCAAAAAUCGUCAUUUUGCCACCUAAGAUAAUAAUUUGACCAUGGAGUAAAAUUUUUGACCAAGAUUAACUAUUUGGAGUAUAAUUUAAUGAUCGGAAGUGAAAAAGUUUAAUUCUGGUGAUUUUUGGAGUGUAGGGGCAAGAUCGUAAUGUUGCCACCCACGGACAAAAAUUUGAGAUUUGAGAGAAUUUAGAUCAAAUAUGACAAAUUGGAAAAUGGUAUGAUUAUAAGGGAUGAAAAAUAUGUCUAUGGGCAAUUUUUCAAUUUUUGGGGCAAAAAUGUAAUUUUUGACUUUUACGGGGGUAAAAGUGUAAAUUUUAAAAAUUACUCCACCGAGACUUUGGAUAAGUCUGAGAAUUUUAUCUAAGCUAUGGAUAUGUGGGACAAGUGUAUGGUGAAAAUUUGGAAACAAAUGGAUGAAAUUUUAAAAAUGGGCCAAUGGGAAAGUGACACGUGGCAUUUUUUUAAUGAAAUAAUAUUAUUUUAAUGAAAAGUCAGCCCAUUUAAACCCCAUUUUAAGUGCUGGCCGGCCAUAAGGAAGAACAAGAGAGGAAAUAGAGAGGAAAGGAAGAAAAAAAGAAAAACCAAAGAGAAACAAGAAAAUUCAAAGGGAAAUUCGCGGUUUUCGACCGUUUACGCGUCUAACGGUAAGAUUUUUCGAUUUUAGCUUGAUUUCUACCUUUCCUAUGCCUUUAUUUCCAUUUAGCAUGCUUGAGGAGAGAGAUCAAAAAGUGAUAUCAAGGGCUGGACGAAAUUCUAGGGGAGAGAAAUUGAAAUUUUUAGGUUUUGAUUUUUAGUUAAAUUGAUAGUUUUAGUUAGUUAAAUGUGUUUAGAAAUUAAAUUGGGCAAGAAAUCAUUAAAUUUUCACAAUACCCACUCUUGGCUGGAUGCUCAAUGCUGUACAAUGAUGAUGAAUUGAUUUUAUUCUAAGGAAAAUGAAGAGAAAAUGAUGAAAAACGAUUAAACGUGAUAGAAAAACAAAGUAGAAAAUUAACCGAGUUAAUGUCCCAUUUUUGGCCGAAUUUUCCAAGGAAGGGAGUGAGCUGAUUUUGUUGUUUUUAGAAGGUUAUUGGCUGAUAUUUAAUGGUUAGAAAUGUUGGAGAGAGAAUGGGAUGAUUUAGAGCUAAAAUGGAGCGCGUUAGCAAUUUAUCGGGCAAAGUGCCAAAAAUAGGUUAAUACCGCGUUUAAGCCGUUUUAGGCUAUUGCAUUUCAUACCAUGCAUUAGUAUAGGAUUUAAGUUAAUUAUAUAGUGAUUUAGCAUCAAUGUGAUGAAUUGUGUAAAUUUUUGUAAUGUGUCUAGGAGGAGAGCCUUCCGGAAAAGGCAAAGAAGUCGUACCCGACGAGUAGUGAUCGGGGCGCUUAGAAAGCUUUUAGUUUGUACAAACGGUGAGUAAACUUAUUAUUAUUGUAAAUUAUCUAGAGUUUAUUUUUAAAUGCCCUUUAUGUAUUUUAUGAAAUGAAAACGAGAUUAAAACGGGAUUUUUGAUGUUUUAGGAAUAAAUGUGACAAAUAAAAAUAUAUUGUAUUGAUUAUGAAAUUGAGUAAUUGGAGGCUGCAAAUUGACUUGAAAAAUAUAUAUUUUCCUAGGAAUGGCUUAUGAGAAAUGAGUAUAUGUGGCUAUAUUUUGUGAGUGCAUUGGGAAAUUUAUGUAAGUUGUUUUUACUAUGCAGGCUGGAUAAAUAAAUAAAAGCCACGUUAUACUGUCGAAAUUUUAUUAAAAUUGGUGGGUUAGUCACUGCAGUGACGGGUUUCCGUGGACUGCCUAUUAGAGGGGCACGGUAAACCCAGUUAUAUAGUUACUCCGGUUGUAGAGGCGAGGAGGGUAACUCCCGGGGUAGUAUUAGAGCUCACUUCACGUCGAACCCCCACGUGAAUGUGUAACUCGGCCAACGCCAAGGAACGGCUGGUUUUAAAAAUAAAAAUGUGUUUCACGUGUGAAUAUUUUAACACCCUUGGCGGACUCGGUUAGAUGCCUCGGCCAAGGUAUCCCCGAGGAUUAGUUUUGGCUUGAGCCUUGUUUUAAUAAAAGACAUAAGCCUUAACAACUGUUUUGGUAAAUUACAAAUAUUUUAUGGUUUAAGAAAUAAAUUGAAAACAUUAUGAAAUGGGUUGAAAUUUGUUGUUUAAACUUGCCUCCAUUUUACUCGCCUUUAGAUAUUUAUGAUAAUGUCUGUUUACUCAUUGGGAUUGCAAAAUCUCACCCAACUCCUUUCCACCCAUUUCAGGUUCAGUAUAGACUGUAGAUAGCUGAUCUCAUCGAGGACUACCAUUGGAUCUGCAUUUUCCAAACCGUAGGUUCACAGUCCUCUUUACUUUUGUUUAUUCGGGGGCCCUCUUUUUUUUGUAAAUUAAAUUAAAUAUUUGGCUUACUGUAUUUAAGUAUAUAUAAAUUUAUUUAGCUUUUACACUAAAAAUUAUUCACGUAUUACUCUAUAAAUAUUGUUUUAUAAGAAAAUAGAAUAUUUUUUUAAUAUUUCUUUUAUUUUCUUAUUAUAUUCAAAUAACCGUAUUUUCGUUUUAAAUGAAGAUUUAGACUUUAAAACUCACUUUUGAUUAUGAAUUAUGUGCUUUGUUACUUUUUUAUUACGUUUUAGCCAGUUUCACAAUUUUUGAGAAAAAAAUGACCCAAAUACCCCUGUGUGGCGAAAAUUUUAUUUGAUUGUUUUUGAUCUAAAAUAGUGUAUAUUCUCUAAAAACUCGAUAUUAACAACGAUUACUCAUAGGAAAGGAAAGAAACUAAUAUAUAAGCCUUGCGGGUUCCGGUUGGCAUUCCGGAUAAUGAGUGUCAAUCAGGGACGUUGCGGCGAUUGUCAUGAGCCUGAGGGAGGUUUCGGGUCGUGACAAAAGAGAACAAAAAUUGAGAAAUAGGGAAGUAAAAGGAAU